rnacentral:tRNA from 1 species
GUGCUCGUAGCUCAGAAGGAUAGAGCGAUAGCCUCCUAAGCUGUAGGCCCCGCGUUCGAUUCGCGGCGAGCACACCA